GCCUCCUCUACUGUCAUUUUAUACAUAUUAGACUAAAAAAUAUAAAAUUUUCGCGGUGGCGGCCCUGCUCACCAAUUUAUAUACAUAUUACAUUUCUAGCCCCCAAAUCAUAUGUGUUGAGGUUCCGCCCCUGAUACCAAUACGAGCAUCUUUCAUCACAAAAUAACUAUAUCCAAACCAUUAAAAAAGCCAUGAAUUCGUUAUAUUUUGAAAGACACUAUUAAAGAAAACUUCGUUAAUUUUAGCAGUAAAUUAGCAAAAAUACUCAAAUUCGUAAAUAUUUUGAAAAACACAAAAAAUAAAAUAAAUAAUAUGAGAUUUCAUACUUUUGUUGAAAUGACUAAGGUGCAUGUAUUUUAAAGUUUAGAUUGUGAGUUCAAAAUCAAAACGUUUUUUUAAUAAGCUUAAAAGAAAUAAAUAACAUUUAGGUGCUGUUUGUUUUUUCUGAGGCAAAAUGUCUGCAGUCUGCGGACCACAUCUGUAGACAUCUGCAGUAGAAGAGGUGGACCAAACGUCUGCAGUCUGAAAAAAGAAGACUGUUUGUUUUUUUAACAUCUGCGGGCUACUAAAAUAAACUGAAAUUUAAAUAAACUUAUUUUUUUAAACUUUAAAGUGAUUUUUUAAUAUUUUUAUGAUUUUGUUAUAAAUAAUUAACGAAUCUAGAUCAACUUUUAUGUAUUAUUGUAUAAAAAAUAAAAUUAAAAAUGGUAUGAAUUAGCAUAUAUAUUUGAUAAAAACCAACAACUUUGGUUGCAAAAUUAUAAUUAACCAUUAUAAUUAGUGAUCAAAGAAUUUGAUACAUAAAUUGAUGGAAAUAAACUUCGAUUUUUUCAAUUAAAUCCAUUAAAAACGUACCAUAAAUAUUUUCUCGAGAAAUUGACGAUAUUGUAUUAAAUAUAAGAAUAUAUUAUGAUUUUUUUUUCAUAUUUAUAUAAACAAAUUUAACGACUAUUAUUGUAAUAAAUCUUUAUUUAUAAAUUUCUCAAAAAUAUCAUGUUUGUAUGGUCAAAAGUUUUUUUUUUUUUUUUAAGUUUUGUAGUUUUUUUUUUUUCAAAUUGUUAUCAUUAAUAAAGUUGGAAAAAAUAUAAAUUAAAAAAAAAAACUUGAAAAAAAUAAAGAUAUAUAUGUUUUUUUAAGCUAGAAGAUGUCUGAAGAUGUUAGAAGACUUUGGUCCACAUCUGCGCCAAGAAUAGGGCGCGCAGACAUUUUUAGGUCUGCAGUCUUCAGAAAAACAAACGGUCUGCGAAGGCUAAUGUCUGCGCGUGGUCUGCGCGGCGCAGACAGAAGAGGCCUCGCAGAUCUGCAGACAAAAAACAAACACUGCCUUAGUUGCUUUUGUUAUGUUUCGAUCCUACGGUAUAGGCAUUAGAAACCAUGCACCUUAUCGAUUUCAACCACAUCUUCUUGUUUUUUCUAUUAAACAUAUUUAUCGUCCUCAAGUUGUUCGAUUCCGAGUUUUUAAGUUUAGUUGUAAUUUUCUUUAAAUGCGCGUUAUUGUUUACUCAGGAAAAAUAUAUAACCUUGCGAAAUAUUAGCAUAUUUCAGUAUUUGCUAAUCUACGUCUAAAAAUAUAGACAUUUUUUGGUAAUAAAGUGCAGUUUGUGUUUAUUAAAGCAACCUAAUUUGAGGCCCAUACUAAUUCACAGGUUUUUUUAAUGAUUUGGAUUGUCAUUUUGUGAANAUAUAAACAUGUGGGUAUCCACCUGACACCAUCAUUUAUAUGAUAUUUUAGUGAAUAACAUGAAACUAACAUUAAUAUUAUUAGUUAAAAAA
rnacentral:lncRNA from 1 species